UACGAAGGGGGCUAGCGUUGCUCGGAAUCACUGGGCGUAAAGCGCACGUAGGCGGAUCUUUAAGUCAGGGGUGAAAUCCUGGAGCUCAACUCCAGAACUGCCUUUGAUACUGGAGAGCUUGAGUCCGGAAGAGGUGAGUGGAACUCCGAGUGUAGAGGUGAAAUUCGUAGAUAUUCGGAAGAACACCAGUGGCGAAGGCGGCUCACUGGUCCGGUACUGACGCUGAGGUGCGAAAGCGUGGGGAGCAAACAGG
rnacentral:rRNA from 1 species